CUGCUGCAGAUAGUUAUAUUUACUCUUCUCCUCCACCACCUUACGAGUAUAAGUCGCCACCGCCACCAUCACCUUCACCACCACCUCCUUAUGUUUACAAAUCGCCACCUCCUCCAUCCCCAUCACCUCCACCACCUUAUGAGCACAAGGCUCCUGCUUAUGAGUACAAGUCACCACCACCACCAACUCCUUCACCACCACCUCCUUAUGUGUACAAGUCACCACCACCGCCAUCUCCUUCACCACCACCUCCUUAUGUGUACAAGUCACCACCACCACCCUCACCUUCCCCACCACCACCAUACUACUACAAGAGUCCUCCACCACCUUCUCCUUCACCUCCACCUCCUUACUACUACAAAUCUCCUCCACCACCCUCACCUUCCCCACCACCACCAUACUAUUACAAGUCUCCUCCACCACCAUCUCCCUCACCUCCACCACCAUAUUACUACAAGUCUCCCCCACCACCCUCACCCUCCCCUCCACCCCCAUAUAUACACAAGGAUCCACCAUACUAUUACAAGUCCCCACCACCACCUUCACCAUCUCCUCCACCACCAUACUACUACAAAUCUCCCCCACCCCCUUCACCGUCUCCUCCACCACCAUACUACUACAAAUCUCCUCCUCCUCCAUCUCCUAUUCCCAAAACACCUUACUACUACAAAUCUCCCCCACCCCCUUCACCAUCUCCUCCACCACCAUACUACUACAAAUCUCCCCCACCCCCUUCACCGUCUCCUCCACCACCAUACUACUAUAAAUCUCCCCCACCACCGUCACCCUCUCCACCACCACCUUACUAUUACAAGUCUCCUCCCCCACCUUCACCAUCUCCUCCACCACCAUACUACUACAAAUCUCCUCCUCCUCCAUCUCCUAUUCCCCAUACACCUUACUAUUACAAAUCUCCCCCACCACCUUCACCAUCUCCUCCACCACCAUACUACUACAAAUCUCCUCCUCCUCCAUCUCCUAUUCCCCGUACACCUUACUAUUACAAAUCUCCCCCACCACCUUCACCAUCUCCUCCACCACCAUACUACUACAAAUCCCCUCCUCAUCCAUCUCCCAUUCCCCAUACACCUUACUAUUACACAUCUCCCCCACCACCUUCACCGUCUCCUCCACCACCAUAUUACUACAAAUCUCCUCCCCCUCCGUCUCCUAUUCCCCACACACCUUACUACUACAAGUCCCCACCACCACCAAAGGUCCUUCCACCACCAUACUAUUACAAUUCUCCUCCUCCACCUGUUGUGUAUCCUCACCCAUAUCCCUACCACCACUCACUUAUUGUGAGGGUAGUCGGUAAAGUCUACAGCUUCAGAUGUUAUGAUUGGAAUUAUCCUGCAAAGUCUCAUAACAAGAAACAUCUCAAAGGUACAUUACAUUUCUUAGGACCGGACCUCUUUAGAGUAAUGUGUUUAGAGAUAAUGCACAAUUUUUUAUUUUUUUAUCUCGUAAAGGUUUAUUUAUUAUAAUCACAAUUUCACUUUUGUCAAAAAGAAAAACAAUUUUACUAUAUAUAGUUUUAAUCAUUAACAUUUUGAUGUAAAAAGAAUACAAUUCUCUAUUACCUUUUUACUAUGAUAUAUAUACAAAGAUUAUUCAAAUCUAUAUAUCCAACCUAAUUUCCAUCCAAAAAAAUAGAAAACAUAGGGUGCUUUGAACGCCUGCAGCAUCACAUGAAUAAAUAAAAACAAUCAAUAAUCAACCUUGUUCUAAUUUAUUUUAGACAGCGAUUGUUAAGCAUACUGCUCUUUUAAUUACAUUUUUUUUAAAGAUGCUCUUUUAAUUAUAUUGUCCUAAUAUAAUAUGUGUCUUUAUAUAUUACUUGUCGUAAACUAAUUUUAUUAUGGGUGCAGGAGCUGUUGUUGAGGUGACAUGCAAAGCCGGGAGCAAAAUUGUCAAGGCUUAUGGAAAAACUAAGAACAAUGGAAAGUAUGCCAUCACAGUUAAGGACUUUGACUAUGUCAAAUAUGGUUCGACAGUGUGCAAGGCUGCCCUAUAUGCUCCACCUAAGGGUUCACCCUUCAACAUACCUACAAAGCUAAAUCAAGGAACAAAGUUGUACUUGAAAUCCAAAGACAAGUACGAGGUUGUGCUCAAGGCUAAGCCAUUUGCUUAUGCUUCAAAGAAACAUUUCAAAGAAUGUGAGAAGCCUAAGCCUUCACCAACUCCUUACUACUACAAAUCACCUCCACCUCCCUCACCAGUUUACAAAUACAACUCACCACCUCCACCGGUCCAUUAUUAUUCACCUCCAUACACCUACAAGUCACCUCCUCCCCCUGUGAAAGCGGCACCAACUCCUUACUACUACAAAUCACCUCCACCACCCGCACCGGUUUACAAGUACAACUCACCCCCUCCACCGGUCCAUUAUUAUUCACCACCAUAUACCUAUAAGUCACCUCCUCCCCCUGUGAAAGCGGCACCAACUCCUUACUACUACAAAUCACCUCCACCUCCCGCACCGGUUUACAAGUACAACUCCCCACCUCCACCGGUCCAUUAUUAUUCACCUCCAUAUACCUACAAGUCACCUCCUCCCCCUGUGAAAGUGGCACCAACUCCUUACUACUACAAAUCACCUCCACCACCCGCACCGGUUUACAAGUACAACUCACCACCUCCACCGGUCCAUUAUUAUUCUCCACCAUACUACUACAAGUCACCACCCCCACCAUCUCCAUCACCUCCUCCACCAUACUAUUUCAAAUACUAUUACAAGUCCCCACCUCCACCAUCACCAUCCCCUCCUCCACCUUAUUAUUACAAAUCUCCUCCUCCACCAAAACAAAUUUCACACCCUCCAUACUACUAUAAGUCACCACCCCCACCAUCACCAUCACCUCCUCCACCAUACUAUUAUAAGUCUCCACCUCCACCAUCACCAUCUCCCCCACCACCUUAUUAUUAUAAGUCACCACCCCCACCAUCCCCGUCCCCUCCUCCACCAUACUACUACAAGUCUCCACCUCCACCUAAAGAAAUAUCACAUCCUCCAUAUAACUAUAAGUCACCACCCCCACCAUCACCAUCCCCUCCCCCUCCAUACUAUUACAAAUCUCCUCCACCACCAUCACCAUCACCACCACCUCCCUACUAUUACAAAUCACCUCCACCACCAUCACCAUCACCUCCCCCUCCAUACUAUUACAAAUCUCCUCCACCACCAUCACCAUCACCACCACCUCCUUACUAUUACAAAUCACCUCCACCACCAUCCCCAUCACCACCACCUCCAUACUACUACAAAAGUCCCCCUCCACCAUCUCCAUCUCCUCCAUCCCCAUAUUACUACAAAUCUCCACCACCACCAUCACCAUCCCCACCCCCUCCCUACUAUUACAAAUCACCUCCACCUCCCUCACCAUCACCGCCACCUCCUUACUAUUACAAAUCACCUCCACCUCCCUCACCAUCACCGCCACCUCCUUACUAUUACAAAUCUCCCCCACCUCCAUCUCCAUCUCCACCACCUCCUUACCACUAUCAAAGUCCUCCUCCACCAUCUCCCAUUUCUCAUCCUCCCUACUACUACAAAUCCCCUCCACCACCAUCGCCGUCUCCUCCACCUCCUUACCACUAUGUGAGUCCUCCCCCACCAGUAAAGUCACCUCCACCACCAACUUAUAUCUAUGCUUCACCACCACCACCUCACUACAACUAAGCUCAAAGAGCAGAAGCUCCGUUCAUUAUAAAUCAUGUAAGUUUAUCAUCUUCAAUUUUCUGAAUGUGUGCGUGUGUAUUUGUUUUUUUGUUACAAGAUACUAACAAAAUUCUUUUCUUAUUUAUGUUCAGGUUUUAGUUUUCAUCUAGGAAUAAAGGCAAGCUCCAUUUGGAGUAAAGUGAAACUUCUAGCUUCGUGUCCGAAUUCGUUAAAUAAAUGUCGGGAUGUAUCGUCUUUGAGCUAUAAUAUUUCUGAUCCAGACAAUAUCUAUUUUGUUUCUUUGGUGGCAAUCUUGCACUUCCUGGUCUUAGUCUAUUCAAGUGACAGACAAAUCAAAAGGGAGAAGCGAGAUUAAUUUAUUUGUGAUCUCUUUGAUUUAUUUGUGCAUAUAUCAAUAUGAACGUGUAUGAUAUUUUUCUAUUUAUUGAAGAUUUUUUUACUGUAACCUGUUAUUGUGUUUGUCAAAAGGUGUUAAUAAAGAAUCACAUUCAAUUUCUGUUAAAUUAUCAGUAUUUGUUUCUUUCUAACAACUACCAUUCAUGCAAAUGUGGCUAUUAAAAAAAGCUCCAAUGACACAUAAAAAGCUUCCAAACAAUAUAUAAACAAAGAUGCAUUGUUUUCUGUUAAGAAGGGGACAGGGUUACGGUUACUUGUGUACCAAGUUAGUUAUCCAUGCUUUCUUGUUCAUAGGAUUUAUAUGGUGUAGUUGCACUUAGUUGCUAAAUGUAUGCAAGCUUUUCCUUUCUAUAAAUAAGCACACCUACUAUCAUUCUUCUCCACAUUCCUUUCUACUCUUCUAUCAUGAAUUGUUCAUCCACAUAAGAUGGUCACAGAGCACACCUAAUACUCUGCUACUGGUGUAUCAGUUCCUUUCCACCAGAAACUUAUGAUCUCUAAUUGAAAGAGAUCCUAAAGUUUUAAGAUUUCUACAAAAUACAUUAUUCUCAUUUUUGUACAAGUAUGAUACAAUUAUUCCCAAGUAUUAUUUAUUCUAAGGAAUAGAAUUUAGUUGUGGUUUCUCUAUUUAACCAACAUUUAUUUUUAAAUAACUAAAUUUAAAAAAAAAAUCCUGAAAUUAUUAAGUACAUACCUAACACAUUGUAAAAUUUUGUUCCCAAAGAAAAUAUUUUUGGCAAUAGAAUUUUCAGGAACUUCAUUCCUAGGAAUAUAAUUCUAUACUAAGAGAAGAGCUUAAGCAUUGAUACAUAACAAGACCAAUCCAUAUCCUAAUCACAAUCCUACUUUCACUAAAUACUUUCACUUAAGUGUGGUCUUGGAAAGGACAAAUGAAGAAAGACAUUCCAGAGGUAUGGUAAGGGACAAUAUCUGCAGUUAUGCACAUAUUGCAAGAUUGUGAGGAACUACCGGACUGAUUUGAUUCACCAAAAAAUUUGGAAUAAAUAUUUCAGCCCAGAACUCAGACAAUGACUGGAUUGGAACCUUUCAGCUUCUAAUAUCGGUACUGUCCAAGGAAAUAGUCAUUCUCUUUUUGGAGUAGCUGUGAAGGAUUUAUGGAAAGAUAGAACUAAGCUGGUCUUUUCUAGAAACACCGCGAUUGGAACUACUCUAUUUUGGCUUGUAGCCAAUCCGGCUAAGUUUAUUAACAAUGUAGUUUGUACUCAAGCUCACAGUCACGAUGUUGUCAGCAACAGUGGGCAUAUUGUUUAGGUAGCCUGGAAUUUUCCUCCCCAACACUUCUUCAAAGUGAAUAUGAUGGAUCUCUACGGGAUUAUGUUAGUUUCCAGGAUCGAACUCAGAACCUCCUGAUUAUAACUCCUUCAAUGUAUGUCCCUUACCCACGUGGGGCCUCGGCUGUAAUUGUUAACAUGGUAAAAUUUGGCUCUUCCAAUAAUGGUUUUAUCCAAACUCGAGGUUGUUUAUCGUCUCCAACAAUCAGAUUGGAGAAUACUAGUGGUUCAUGCAUUUGAACAAACCAACUGUUGUGCAGAUUUUCUAGUUGAUUUUGUUUUUCCUUUUUUGAGUAUUUUAUUAGCCAAUGAUAUAAGAGGUUGUAGCCUACCUCUUUUGAUUUCUUAAGACAAUCACUUUUGCAUUAGAAAAAAACGACCCUACAUAAAAUUAAUGAUUGAAUUAAGAUAUAACUUCAGUUUGAAAUAUUGUAAAAUUCUAUACCACCAAAAACUGAGAAUUUUAGAACCAUACAGGUUGGUGGAGUGGUCAUCCAGAUAACUUUAACAUAAUUAACAGUCCAAAAAGUAAAUAGCUUUAUCCUUUAUUUUCAAUCUGAUGUGAUUUACUCUUAUCUGUUAAACAUUAUAAUUAAGAAUCCAAAGGGAACACUCACCUAAUCUCUCUCUUUUUUCUAGCUUUUUCACUAAACCACUGUGUCUGUGGUUACCACAUUUCCUUAUGGAAUCAAUAUCCAAUUUAUGUUAAAAACCAUUUCUACAUUUUGUGUUAAAAAUGAUCUAAACAAAGAUGAUUUAUUUCUCUUAAAUUCAACAUAGAUCAUAUUUACAUGGUUCAAACUUUCUAUUACACGGCAUUGACUUAGUUGCUUCACAUGGGGACACAACUAAUGCAUAUAUUAUUUUAUAUGCUUAUAGUAAUUUUAACAAGUGGCAAUGGGGCAUAUGUUUUGUCAAAAAAACACAAAAAACAGGAGGCAUGUGCAACUGAAGUCACUGCCAGCUUGGCACUAAGAUAUAGUAAAAUAAUUGACAUUUGAAGAAAACAAAGACGUUGCUACAUUUCUAUUCAAACAAGCGACAUCAAUAUCAGACAAUGGUGCUACAUUUAAUAAUACUACAGCUAUCCCCAUAAGCACCUCUUAGAAAGAAAAAAAAAUAUCCAUUAAAUUAAUGUUGGAAGAGUUAGCAACAUGUCCUCUCCCAAAAAAACUCAUGUUUGAUUCCUAGAGUCGUCCAUUUCGAAAGAAGCUCAACCCUGAUAAUAAAAACCUAGAUGUUAUGCUGCAGACUUAAAGAUCAAUUUCAUAAUGGAUCCAAAGGGCCUAAGCUGUGUGGGAUACUUAAGGGGGUAUAUUGAGGCUAAGGGUCAAAGAUCUUAAUUAUGGUCGGUUAAAAAAAGAAGAAAAAAAAAUUAUCUCUAAAUAUAAAGUCAACAAUAUUUCAAAUUGCAAGAUACAUUUAUUUAUUUUUUAAAUAUGUAUAUACCUCUUAUUAAUACUUACUAAUUUGUUUUGAGUGAUAAAAAGUUACGAGUUAGACAGAUCAGCACAUAAAAAAAGUAUUUGAAAAACAUCUACCAACAAAAUAAACACAUUAAAAACAAUACUACUUUUUUACAAUACUGUAUGUGAAAAUGACAAAAUCUUGAAAAAGAUGGAGGUAACAUGUACUCUUUUUUUUUUAGAGGGGAGCAUGUACUUUUCCACUAACAAUGUUGAUAAGAAACAUAUAAAAUACUAUUAGAGAAAGAAAAAAAAUAAUAAAUAAAGAAAUAUAUAAAAUACUGAGGAAUGACUCACUCAUGUCAAAUUUUAGCAAGGGAGAAGUGAUAUCACAUCAUUUUAGAAGAGGAAUGAGAAUAGAUAGAUCUAAUUUUUCUAGUAAGUUUGAAUAGUAGAAUCAUACUUCUUUGUCUUUUGUGAAAAUUUCAUAUUAUGGGAUCUAUUACUAGAAUACAGGUGAUUUUAUUCUGGAAGAUUGACUUUUUAUUAAAAUAAAAUAAAAGUACAUUUUUUAUUUCCAAAUGCUUAGUUGUUCAUUUAUAAAUAUUACAUUAUCCAACAGCACCAAACCCUAUUUCAUAACGGUACUCUGCACGUUUCAUUCAUUUACUGGUGCCUUAGUUUUUUGUUACAAACAGACAUUGAUCAGAGGAACAAAUGUAGAGACAAAUUGAAGAUAAUAUAUCACAUAAUAUUGUAGACACACCUUCACAUACAAAUGGGGUAAAGUCCCUCAUAGUAGUAUUAGAAAUAACACUUAGAGUAAAAUUUUGCUAAAUUUAACAUGAAAAUAAGUGUAAUGUAUUUUAUAGGCAGCUAUACAUAAUUAUUAAUUAGAACAAUUUUUUACACUGUCAAACAAAAAUUGAACAAUUUUUUACUAGCUUUAUGCUUUAUGAUGUUUUGAUUCCAUGUGCACAUUUCAAUUUUAGAACUAUUCCUUUCUAUGUUACUGAAAUAAUUCUAUCAUUAGGCAUUGACAUUUCCAUUAUGCGUGCACGUUAAAGUGUUUUCCCAAACAGAGAAAUAUUAAGAAAGGUUAAACUUUUGACUUAAAGACACAACUAAAAUAAGAUCCAAGGAAAACCCCAUUGAUUAUUUCUUGCACAAAAUUAAAAACCCCAUUGAUUAUUUCUUGCACAAAAUUAAAAUGCUAAUAAUUUUUCCUGGUCUAUAUUUUUCUCCUUCCGGGAAAUGGCAACAUCACAUGUUCAUCUCAUAAUUGAGAAAACACAUGUCUGGGAAAAUAUCUUAAAGAAAAGGCAGUAAAGUAAUAAAAAGUGCACCAAAUAGAGAUUAACUAGUACUCUUUGCAUGUCAACUAAGUGGUAUAAUUAUGUAUAUCACAUUCUUAAUAUUGAUUAUCUUGAUUGCACGAUAAGCCCCUCAAAUUGCUCAAUCGAUGAUUGCUUGAUAAGCCCAUCAAAUUGCCCAAUCGAUCGAAUCGUAACUUUCGAUAGACAUUUUUUUUAAGAAAACCCAAUUGGAUCAUAACUCCCCAUAGUCAUUUAUUUGAAAUUGUGAGCAAUUUGAUAACUUAUUGAGCAAUCACCAUUGAUUUUAGUCUCAAUUUAUCCUAAUGUUGUAACCCUGGAAUAAUGGAACAGUGAGUAAAUUUGGUUUCUCCGUCUCAAAAUAAGUGUCACAAUUUAACCAUGUGCACUACUCAUCAAAUCUACUUUGACAACAUUUUUUUUACUAAUAUAUAAAGACAAUGUUAGUACAUUACAUGUUCGAUUUGUCUUAGUUAAUGUUUUUAAAAUAUCGACUUUAUUAUAAUUUUUCUUAAUAGACAAUCAAAAAUAUCAAUUGUCAAAAUUGUGUAUUGAUAUGUAUGAAAAUCAAACUAUAACACUUACUUUGAGACGAAGAGAAUAACUAUUAAAAACUAAUGUUCAAAUAGAAAGAAAAGAAAACAAAGAUUCCAUACAAAGCUUGCAAAAUAGCUACAAUCAUAACCUAGAACAAAAAUCAUGACCACACACUAUAUCCAUUUUCCUUUUCCUAAAAAGCAAUUGAAGAUAAAAAAAAAAAAAAUAAUAAAUAAAAAAAAAAAAAAAAAAAAAAAAAANACCACCAUACUACUACAAAUCCCCACCUCCACCAUCGCCUUCUCCUCCACCACCAUACUACUACAAAUCCCCACCUCCACCAUCGCCUUCUCCUCCACCACCAUACUACUACAAAUCCCCACCUCCACCAUCGCCUUCUCCUCCACCACCAUACUACUACAAAUCCCCACCUCCACCAUCGCCUUCUCCUCCACCACCAUACUACUACAAAUCCCCACCUCCACCAUCGCCUUCUCCUCCACCACCAUACUACUACAAAUCCCCACCUCCACCAUCGCCUUCUCCUCCACCACCAUACUACUACAAAUCCCCACCUCCACCAUCGCCUUCUCCUCCACCACCAUACUACUACAAAUCCCCACCUCCACCAUCGCCUUCUCCUCCACCACCAUACUACUACAAAUCCCCACCUCCACCAUCGCCUUCUCCUCCACCACCAUACUACUACAAAUCCCCACCUCCACCAUCGCCUUCUCCUCCACCACCAUACUACUACAAAUCCCCACCUCCACCAUCGCCUUCUCCUCCACCACCAUACUACUACAAAUCCCCACCUCCACCAUCGCCUUCUCCUCCACCACCAUACUACUACAAAUCCCCACCUCCACCAUCGCCUUCUCCUCCACCACCAUACUACUACAAAUCCCCACCUCCACCAUCGCCUUCUCCUCCACCACCAUACUACUACAAAUCCCCACCUCCACCAUCGCCUUCUCCUCCACCACCAUACUACUACAAAUCCCCACCUCCACCAUCGCCUUCUCCUCCACCACCAUACUACUACAAAUCCCCACCUCCACCAUCGCCUUCUCCUCCACCACCAUACUACUACAAAUCCCCACCUCCACCAUCGCCUUCUCCUCCACCACCAUACUACUACAAAUCCCCACCUCCACCAUCGCCUUCUCCUCCACCACCAUACUACUACAAAUCCCCACCUCCACCAUCGCCUUCUCCUCCACCACCAUACUACUACAAAUCCCCACCUCCACCAUCGCCUUCUCCUCCACCACCAUACUACUACAAAUCCCCACCUCCACCAUCGCCUUCUCCUCCACCACCAUACUACUACAAAUCCCCACCUCCACCAUCGCCUUCUCCUCCACCACCAUACUACUACAAAUCCCCACCUCCACCAUCGCCUUCUCCUCCACCACCAUACUACUACAAAUCCCCACCUCCACCAUCGCCUUCUCCUCCACCACCAUACUACUACAAAUCCCCACCUCCACCAUCGCCUUCUCCUCCACCACCAUACUACUACAAAUCCCCACCUCCACCAUCGCCUUCUCCUCCACCACCAUACUACUACAAAUCCCCACCUCCACCAUCGCCUUCUCCUCCACCACCAUACUACUACAAAUCCCCACCUCCACCAUCGCCUUCUCCUCCCCCACCUUACUAUUACAAAUCCCCACCGCCACCUUCACCAUCUCCCCCACCACCCUACUACUAUAAAUCACCCCCACCACCUUCACCAUCUCCUCCACCACCAUACUACUACAAAUCACCCCCACCGCCAUAUGAACACAAGACUAAACCAUACUAUUACAAGUCUCCUCCACCACCAUAUGAACACAAGACUAAACCAUACUAUUACAAGUCCCCACCACCACCUUCACCAUCUCCUCCACCACCAUACUAUUACAAGUCCCCACCACCACCUUCACCGUCUCCACCCCCACCAUACUACUACAAAUCACCUCCUCCUCCAUCACCUAUUCCCCAUACACCUUACUACUACAAGUCCCCACCACCACCUAAGGUUCUUCCACCACCAUACUAUUACAACUCUCCUCCUCCACCUGUUGUGUAUCAUCACCCUCAUCCCUACCACCAUGCAUUGAUCGUGAAGGUAGUGGGUAACGUCUACAGCUUCAGAUGUUAUGACUGGGAGUAUCCUGAAAAGUCUCAUAACAAGAAACACCUCAAAGGUACAUCACAUUACAUUUCUCAAUUCUUUCAUUUUUAUAGAUUUUAUGUACAUCACUAUUGGCUCGUAGUUUCUCAAUACCAUUACAACUAAACUGCAAGUUUCAGUAAUGAGAUUCAUAUAGACAUGUUUUUAUUAACAUCUUUGUUUCUUAGAAAUUAUACAAACACUUAAUUUAGGUUUCUCCAUGUCCAAUAAAGUAAACAAUUGAUAUAUCAAAUUAACAUAUAUGAUAUAUCAUUUACCUCAUUAAAAUUUAAUAAUCCUGCCUAAUAUAAAGAUUCGGUUUGAAAAUGAUAGUUUAGUGAGCUUCUUUAUAAUAACACUCUCCAAUAUAUUAUGUUUUAAAAACAAUUAUAUUUCUAUUUGUCUAAAUUCAAAUUUGUUAUGGGACAGGUGCUGUUGUUGAAGUGACAUGCAAAGCCGGGAGCAAAAUCAUCAAGGCUUACGGUAAAACUAAGAUCAAUGGAAAGUAUGCCAUCACAGUUAAGGACUUUGACUAUGUCAAAUAUGGUUCAACAGUGUGCAAGGCUGCCCUUUAUGCUCCACCUAAGGGUUCACCCUUCAACAUACCUACAAAGCUAAACCAAGGAACAAACUUGUACUUGAAAUCCAAAGACAAGUACGAGGUUGUGCUCAAGGCUAAGCCAUUUGCUUAUGCUUCAAAGAAACAUUUCAAAGAAUGUGAGAAGUCCAAGCCUUCACCAACUCCUUACUACUACAAAUCACCUCCACCUCCCUCACCAGUUUACAAGUAUAACUCACCACCUCCACCCGUCCAUUAUUACUCACCUCCAUAUUACUACAAGUCACCUCCUCCCCCCGUGAAAGCGGCACCAACUCCUUACUACUACAAAUCACCUCCACCUCCCGCACCAGUUUACAAGUACAACUCCCCACCUCCGCCAGUCCAUUACUAUUCACCUCCAUACACCUAUAAGUCACCUCCUCCUCCUGUGAAAGCAGCACCAACUCCUUACUACUACAAAUCACCUCCACCUCCCGCACCGGUUUACAAGUACAACUCACCACCUCCACCGGUCCAUUAUUAUUCUCCACCAUACUACUACAAGUCACCACCCCCACCAUCUCCAUCACCUCCUCCACCAUACUAUUUCAAAUACUAUUACAAGUCCCCACCUCCACCAUCACCAUCCCCUCCUCCACCUUAUUAUUACAAAUCUCCUCCUCCACCAAAACAAAUUUCACACCCUCCAUACUACUAUAAGUCACCACCCCCACCAUCACCAUCACCUCCUCCACCAUACUAUUAUAAGUCUCCACCUCCACCAUCACCAUCUCCCCCACCACCUUAUUAUUAUAAGUCACCACCCCCACCAUCCCCGUCCCCUCCUCCACCAUACUACUACAAGUCUCCACCUCCACCUAAAGAAAUAUCACAUCCUCCAUAUAACUAUAAGUCACCACCCCCACCAUCACCAUCCCCUCCCCCUCCAUACUAUUACAAAUCUCCUCCACCACCAUCACCAUCACCACCACCUCCCUACUAUUACAAAUCACCUCCACCACCAUCACCAUCACCUCCCCCUCCAUACUAUUACAAAUCUCCUCCACCACCAUCACCAUCACCACCACCUCCUUACUAUUACAAAUCACCUCCACCACCAUCCCCAUCACCACCACCUCCAUACUACUACAAAAGUCCCCCUCCACCAUCUCCAUCUCCUCCAUCCCCAUAUUACUACAAAUCUCCACCACCACCAUCACCAUCCCCACCCCCUCCCUACUAUUACAAAUCACCUCCACCUCCCUCACCAUCACCGCCACCUCCUUACUAUUACAAAUCUCCCCCACCUCCAUCUCCAUCUCCACCACCUCCUUAUCACUAUCAAAGUCCUCCUCCCCCAUCUCCCAUUUCUCAUCCUCCCAACUACUACAAAUCCCCUCCACCACCAUCGCCAUCUCCUCCACCUCCAUACCAUUACGUGAGUCCUCCCCCACCAGUAAAGUCACCUCCACCACCAGCUUACAUCUAUGCUUCUCCACCACCACCAAUCUACAACUAGCCUCACAACACCAAAUCACCAUUGGUGAUAAAUUAUGUAAGUUUACCAUUAUUGCAAUCAUAACACUUGCAUCUUUUCCCACCCAUACACACACAUAUCACAUGUUUAAAUUUUAUGUACUAAUCAACAAAAACUCUUAUUUGUUUUCAGGUUCUAGUUUUCAUCAAGGAAUAAAGUCGUCCAUUUGGAGCAAAGUGAAACAACUAGCUCUCUGUCCAAAUUAUUUGAUGGCCAUCUUGCACUUCCUAAUCUUAUUGUGUUCAAGUGACUGGCUAAUCAAAAUGUGGAAGCGAGAUUAAUUUAUUUAUUAUCUCUUUGAUUUAUAUGUGCAUAGAUUGAUAUUUCCCUGUAUGAUAACUUUAUUUUUAUUGAGGAUUUUUUGUAUUGUACCCUGUUGUGUUUGUUAAAAUAAGUAUUAUCAAUGAAGAAUUACCUUCAAUUUCUUUCCACCUAAUUAGUUCUUGUUUCUUUUAAACAACUAUCAAGCAUGUCAGCAAGGCAAAGCAUACCACUACCACCAUAUCACCAUAAAAUGCAUCAUUAUUCAUUGCAUAUGAGAUAAAUAUAUGCAAACUAUAUCUAAUUAUUAAGAGGGGGAAAAAACUAAUGUACAGAAAAUGUACCUCAAGGCUUCAGGAUAGGUGUUAGAAACCCAAGCUUUUAAUAGCUCUCUCCAAGAAUCCUCGUUUCUACAACUUAAGUUCCUAUAUUAAUCAAUUAUAAUAUAUGAGAAACUUAUGUUGUCGACCAACAAUACAGGUGACUCAAAAAAAUAUUAUAUUUUAAAAGUCAAACCUUGAGCUAUACACAUGUAAGCAUCAUCAAUAUAAGUUUCACCAUUGUUCAUGUGUAUUAUUCCAUAAAUUUUGGCUCAGUUGAGGUUACUACACUGGUUUUCUUCCUAUUGUAUCAUAUAUUUAAAUACUAUGGUGCGUUUGGAUAAACAGCUUAUGUCACAAGCACUUAUCAUGAUAAGCGCUUUUGUAUAAACUUGCAUGAGUUAUUUUCAUAUCAAAAGAUAAACAAGAACAUUAAAUUGUUUUUGUAUAUUACUUAAGUUGUUUUCAUAAGCUAUGUUGAAGAACUAAUGAAAAUUAGCUGAAAAAAGCUUAUGCUGUUUUCAUGAAUUCUCCCUAACAGUCUCACAAUAUUUAUGUCAGUAUAUAAUCAAAUAAGUCAAUCCAAACAGGCCCCACGUCUUCUAUAUUAGACCAUAUGACAAUUUCUUUUCGGUUUAUUCUCAUUAAAAGUUAAAAAUGGUGUAUUUGAAUCCUAUAAUUCUUUGUCAUACAAGUGCAUUCAAAUACAAUUUGAAGCCAUGGUGAAAGUGUUUAAUUUGCAGAGCUCACCAACAUAAUCUAACGUAUAUUUGGAUUGACUUAUUUGAACUUAUCUACUAGCACAAAUACUUGUGAGAUUGUUUACGAAAGUUUAUGGAAAAAACUUACAACACACACAUAAGUUGUUUUCAGCUUAUUUCCAUAAACUCUUCAAAAUAGCUUAUGAAACAACUUAUAUGAUAAGAGCUUAUUCUAUAAGCGCUUAAUUAAGUUUUAAUCCAUUCUUCUUCUACCUUCAUCUUCAGUUAACAAAACGAAUACAAUUUCUGAAAAUUCAAAGUUCAAACACCAAAAAAUACCUAAAAUGAAAAAUUGUUGAAUGAAAGCGCAAAUAGAACCUGGCAAUGCGUUCGAGAAGCACGUGGAGGAGGUGGCGUGGCAGAAGAAUGUGUGGAUUUCAUCGGAGAAUUUCAGUUCUGCUCGCGCCAUUUAAGAAAUUUUGUAAACUUAAAGUUUAGUUUAAGUUUACCCCUCUUUUUUUUUCAUUUUAAAGGAGUUUACCCUACAAAUUUUUGUAUGUUUUUGCCACGUUUACAAAUGAUUUAAUAUGUUUUUAUCCUAUAUAUAUUUAGGGAUGUAAAUGGAUAUUAUGAUGCGGAUAGUGUAAUAUUUGUGUCUGUUCCAUUGGAUAAAUAUGAAAUCUGUACCAUAUUCAUAUCGUACGGAUAUCUGUUUAGCGGGUAAUCCACAGAUUUUGAGAUAUUUGAGUGUUUAUAGAUAUAUUCAUUGAUAACAUUUAUAAAAAUAAAAUAAAAAAUUUGUUUAAUUCUUUUUAGAGACAAAGGUUCUUCAUAUGCAUUUUCUUUUCUUUUUAACAAAACAUAAUAUUCAUACAUUAUAAUAACAACAAAGAUCAUUGACUCAACAAAAACAUAAAUAAAGUUGCUUACAUUUAAUAAAAAUAAAGUUAUUUGAUUUAACAAAAACAAAGCUCUUGCAUCAACAAUCCCAACCACUUUCACUUCCUUUUAAAAGAGUGUAAUAACAAAUAACACUCACAAUACAUAAGGUUUUUUUUUAGGAAGUUGAAUGAUAUUAAGGUUAUUUAUGUAAUUUACUCGGUUUAAUAGUCGGUAUGGAUAUCCACGGGUGUGGAUACCGUUAAAUCCGCAUCCAUAUCCAUUAAUUAGCAGGUAGUUAAAAAAUUCAUUUAUUUUAUCCAUUGAUAUCCAUUAAGGUAUCCGCUCCGUGCCCGUGACGGAUUAUAUCCGCGGAUAUUCACGGGUGCGAAUUUUUUUGUCAUCCCUAUAUAUAUAUAUUAGUCUUAAACUUGACUAUUUUUUAUUAUCAUUUGGUGCUAUAAUUAAAAAAAAAAAAAAAAUAUUGUUCGUCUGAGCCAUUUAGCUACAGGCUAUUACUUUUCUCAUUCUACAUGUUUCUCGCUUGUCCUAUUUUUUUUUUAAUACUUUUUGCUCGAAUUCUAAAAUCUAAACUCCUAUAGGGAUUUUUGGAUUCUAUAAUCCAAAACACGUUGAAACCCAAAAAUAAAAUAAAAAACUAUGUAAUUGAAAUCAAAGAUCUCUACUGCUAAUGCACGUUUUCCACAAAAACUACAAAGUAAUUUCAAAGUAAUUUCACAAAAACUAUCGUAUGAAUAGACAGCAAUGAGCAUGAUAUCAUAAAUAACUCAAAACUUUAUAAAAAUAAAAAUAAAAAAAUGAAUAAGAAGAUGUGAAGAAUGAAUGUAAACGUUGGAGGAUACAAAGCUAUUUAUAGACAUAAAAUGUUCCUAGACUCUAAAGUGGGUCAAAGAAAACAUGAAUAACAUUUACAACUUAAUUAACACAUCACAGAUCAUUCAAACCUUUGGUGUAACAUCAUCGUAUGUAGUCUGGCACAGUUUGGAUUAUACAAUCUGAACAUUUCAUAAGCAGUUUGGAUUAUAUAAUUUGAACUAUCCCAGACUGUGUUUCAGCUUGAUGUUUGGAGGGUUUUGUAUGGUGGAUAACACAAAAAAAUGACAUAAUUCAACAACGUAAAAAAUAUAAUAAGAUAAGUGAUGAUGAAAGGGAAGCCGCACCAAGAGGUGUUUUUGAAUUCGAUCCAGUUGUCCUAUCAACUGACAUAUAUUUCUAUUGGCAUGGCAGCAAGAUCAAGUUUCAAAACGACCUUUUUGUGUUCAUAUCCGCAAAAUAAUGAUGAAAGGCAAGGUAUUCCAAGAAGUGUUUUUUAACUUGAUCUCGCUACCUUGUCAACUAACAUAUUUCUAUAGACAGUGCAGCAAGAUCAAAUUUAUAACAACCUCUAGGUGUUCAUAUCCGCUAAGUAAUUUUUCGUAGUUCUUUAUUGUGAUCUACAAAAAAAAAAAAAAAAAAGAUCUAUUUAUAUAAGUUUAUGUGCGUCGCGAACCAGAUAAAUUUUCGAUGCAUUGUGGACCAAAAAAAAAUUCUAAUUCGGACUAAACAAGAUGAAUUUUCCUUCACCCUAGAAAGUAAAAGUUUUGACAAACACAAGACUGAUUAUACAUUAAAUACAACAAUCAGCCAAACUAAACAUAUUAGAUCACAAAUCUUUCAAACUAACUUCUUCAUUGGAUUCCUCCAAGAGAGCCUUGAUUUAUUUGUAUGUUCUAGGCCGAAUCAAUUUUUUUUAAUAUCUUUGAAAGGGCCCGACCAAGAAAACAUCCAACUCAAUUGGUCAUUUAAUACCGUACUGACCAAAUAUUAAAACAUUAUUCUCUUAUCGCAUUGUUCCUGAGUUUAAUCUAGGUAAACUAGAUGCUUUCAUCUUAGCCAAUCGAUGGACUUUGAUGCUCAACAUUGUCCAUCCUUCUUGUGUCUGUGUUGUUGAGUCGACGGUUGAUUUAGUCCAGCUAAUAUUGGACUUUCCCCCAUUGUAGUAAACUACAGUUAGUUUGGUGUCAGAUCAAUGAUUGAAGUGUUCAUGAUUAUUUGGUGUGGUUUAUAGCAAAUGAAAACAAGCACACCAAUUUAUAGAAGUUUAUGUGCGCCGCGGACUACAAUAACUAUUGGUGCAAUGAAGACCAUAGAAAAAGCAUGUACUUGGCUGAUUUGGAUUAUAUAAUUUACAUUGUCCCUCACCCUACAAAGUACAAAUUUCAACACAAUAUUGAACCAAUUCGGAUUAUAGAAUCCAAUCAUUUAUGAGAUAAUUUCGGAUUAUAUAAUUAAAACUAGUUCACAAUGUGAACCGCAGCUUGGUCAGCAAGACUAACUCAUUAAAAAUGUUUUUUAAGUUGGUGAACGACGCUUGACUGGUCAGCAAGACUUGAAAACAAUUUUCGUACCAUGCAUUAAUGGACCAUUACCCUCUAUGAAAUGUACUUCACAAAUUCUCCUUCCGAAUACCCACUAAUACAUCACAAAUUCUUAUUUCAUCUCACAUUCUCUCGUUCUUUUUACUUCUACAAUGUGCUUCCAUAGUUUGUGUUUCAUACAAAAAUGUUACUCUAAUAUUUUAUGGAUUGUAUGAAUGGUCAAAAGGCAAAAAUUGGCACCAUCUGUUUGGAUGUAAGGUUGAUCAUCAAAGUCUAAUCCACUAAGAGAGGAAACAAACCUUACCCCAACCUCAUUCCCCAUUCAUCUUCUUGCACCGCAUGUUUAAAUGAUACUCCCUCCGGUCCUAUUUAUAAGAGAAAGUUAGGUCAACAAAAGUUGAUGUAUCUGAACUGAAUUUUUAACCGGAUACAUCAACUUUUGUUGACCCAAAUUUCUCUUAUAAAUAGGACCGGAGGGAGUAUUUGUACAACCAUUUUGGUACAACUUUUGUACAACUUUCUCUCUCAUACUCACAUUAUGUUUUUAUUCUCUCUCUUACUUUUUUUCUCUCCAUUGUGGUUGACCAAUAAGAAGGGAGAAUAUCAAGGUUGUCACAAAAAUUGUAACAAAAGAGUUGUUCAAAUAUCAUUACUCUUAUCAUUAUGUGUUAAAUAAUUUUGUGUAAUAAGCUUCAAUGACAAUGUAAAUAUACAAUAAAAGAUAUAAAUUAUUCAUAAAAUGAAAAUUUUAUUCAUUUAUCUUUUUAUAUUUUUGUCUCUUUUAGUUUCAGUCAUUUUCAAUUAUGCAUUCUUAAUAUUAUGUCAAUGUUGAUCAAUAAUUAUUGGCAAAAGAAGUUUUCAUGUUAUAGAAUAUGAAAAUCCCUGGUACCAAAAAAAAAAAAAAUCUGAAAAUCCCUCUAUAGGAUUUCAGAUUUUAGAAUCCGACCAAAUGGUAUUUUGAAGAGAGAAAAAUAGUGUGUCUAAGUAACUCAUGUUGAGAAAAGUAAUAGCCUUAAUUAUGUCUCCGAUAAACAUUUUAUUCCCUUCCGUUAAUCAGUUAAUCCCAAAUGUCUAAGGUGAACCAAUAUUAUAGGUGGUCUACCAUAAACCUCAUAACAAUUUUAAGGUCAAAUACCACUUUUGGUCAUUUUAGUUUGACAGAAUUCUCAAGUUAGUCAUUUAAGUUUCGAAAGUUUCAAUUAGGUCCUUUUAGUUUGACAGAAUUCCCAAGUUAAUCCUUUAAGUCAUAAAAUUCAGGGGAGCAAAGUAGAUACUCCAGUUUUCAGAGGCGGAGACAUAGUCAUGUCAAAAGCAUCCCACAUCCUAUUACCACCUACUUGAACUCAUCAAGCUUGGUAUGGACCAUUCACAGUAACAUGUGUAUGUAGUCUCGUGGAGAUCUGGGACAAUAUCAAAUGGCAUGCUAAGGUGAAUCGACACAAACUGAAGCAUGUUAAAGAUUGCAUCCGGAAAAUGAAAGUUGAAGAAGAUGAACCUGCUUUGAAGAGGUUCAAGGGCACAACAUAGACUUAUUCUCCAUGUUCAAGAUGUAAAACACGCAUUGAACGAGAGACAACCCAUUAAUUUAUUUUCUCCGUUAUUUGUCUUGUGUCAUUUUUGCUCGAAUUUUUUGCCGUCAAUUCUUUAUGAAUUAUCAGUCAUAUUAUAUUACACACUAGACAAUUUUUUUGGUACCUUGAGCCUUUUCAAUCCGCCCUUAUCAUCAUUAUAUCCUUUGCUAAAUCCCUUUGAGCUUCCAUGCAUUAUUUCUUUUGUUUUUUUUAUUAAGUAACAAAUCAUGUCACAAGUUUGAACUUUUAAUGCCAUCUAUUUGAUUUCUUUUAUAGUUAGAUAGAAUAUUUUUAAGAACUUGGUAUGAUUUGAAUAUAUGUUAGGGUUAUAAGGGAGAAAUGUAAUGGCAAAGAGGAAGAGCAAGAAAAGAGAUGAAAGAUGAAGGGACAUUAGGCAGACUCAAUCACGGUAGUUAGAAUGAUUGCCUUCUGUUUUGCAGUAAUUUGCAUGAGCUUCACUUUUCAAGUAGAGUAAAAAAAACAGGAAUAGAUAGACACAUUUCUUCUAAGUUUGAGUAGUGAGUGAUAACACUUCUAUGUAAUCCCUAAAAAAAAACACUUCUAUGUAAAAAAAUCACAUGGGAAAUCCAUUCCUAUAGUACACGUAAUUUUGAUCUGGAAGGUUGACUUUUCAACAAAAUAACCUAAAAUAAUUUGUUCAUAACAUAAUAGAGGAAUCUAGAAGUGUUCGCGGUGCGGUUUGAUUCGGUUUUGAGCAAAAAAGUCAUCCAAACCGCGCGAUAAAAAAACAUGUGGUUUGGUUCGGUUGAUUUUUAAAAAAUCAUCCAAACCAAACCAAACUAAACCAAUACGGUUUGGAUUGGUUCGGUUUGUGCGGUUUAUCGCGAGAUAAAAAAAAAAUAUUACAUUAACUCUAAUAUUUCCAAAUUGUUACAAAAUAAACAUAGAACGUUUUUUUAUUUAUUUUUAUAUGAUAAAAUAUUAGGUAAAACUCAUAUCAAAAUAGGUAAAAUUAAGAAGAAUUUAUAAGCAUGAAACAAAUUAUUGGAAAGUAAAGGAAACAAAUUUAAGUAAUAUUCAUUAUUCUUGCAGCUAUGUAAUUGGGCUAGAAACAUUUUAUUUUGAUGUUUAUAUCGAACAUGAUGGUGCAACAAUGGAAAAAUCAAAUCAAAAAAGAUUAUUCUUGAGCUAUGUAAUUGAGCUAGUACAUAUUUAAGUAAUAUUCAUUAUUCUUGCGGUUUGGUUUGGUUUGAUUCGGUUGCUGAGAUGCAAACCGCAAAUCAAACCAAACUGUAUGUUUUAGUGCAAAAGUCAUCUGAAUUCAUCCGAAAUCAAGUACGAUUUUUUACGAUUUUGAAUUGGUUUAAUUUGCCGUUUUUCUAUUGGAUUGGUUCGGUUUGAACGAUCUGCAUGAAUUCUUCUAGUUGAUUGUUGGACUAUUUUUAAUUGGCAAAGGCUUAGUUGUCCAUUUAUAAAUAUAAAUACUAUUAUUACAUUAUCCAAUCCAAUAGCACCAAAACCAAUAUAAUAAUGGUAAUUUGCAAUUUUGCACGUUUCAUUCAUUUAUUGGUGCCUUAAUUUUGGGUUACAGACCGACAUUGAUCAGUUGCUAAAAAACCACUGCAUCCUUAUUUUUUACGAGGUAGAUGCAUCGGACAAAUAAACCGACAAACAAAGCUAUUCAGAAAGUGCUCAGAAAUUUUUUGUGCCCCAACAGAAAAUAUUAAGAAAGUCUUGCUACACAGUGUCUUGUAUACAAGUGAAAUAUGUGUGGUAUUAUGCACAAGUUUAUUUUUACAAGUUGAUAUAAGAAUCUAAGUAUAUUUUUAUGGAAAAUUAAUGCUAACAAAUACUUUCAAAGCAUUGUUUAAGCAAUCAAUAUUAGUAACUUUUGCAUAGAAAUAUGUGUGAUUAUUAUUUUUUCAUAUGUUUUAUAUGUUUUCAAGAAAAUAUUUUUAUUUAUGGUUUUUUUAAAUAGUGUCCUUAGGUACUUGUUAGCAAAAUCUUAUUUAUAUAAGUUGAUCUAAGAAUCUCAUUAUUGUAUCGAGUGAGAUACGGCCAUACCGAAGCUUAUGGAUUCCAUAGUGGAAAAAUAACUUUUCAUCAGUGCAAUACUAUUUUAGUUGUAGAAUUUCUUUUCUUGUGUGUCCUAUUUCAGAUUUUAAAAUCCAAACAAUCGAAGGUUUAUGAAGGUUUUUCGAACAUUUUCGCACUGUUUGAAUUAUAUGAUCUGAAAUGUCAUAGAACAUGCGAGAAGCAAGUUGAAUGAAAUAAAAAACUCCUGCUCAAUAGAAUUAUUUUACUUGGUUAUUGUUUGAAUUUUAUUCUCCUUCAAAGACGGCAAUGUGCAAUUGUGCAUUUCAUCCGGAGAGUGGCAACAUCUCAUGCAUGUUCAUCUCAUAUAACUGAGAAGUCACAUGGCUUGGAAAAUCUUAAACCGAGAAAAACAAAAGGAGUAAAAGUAAUAAUAGUGAACCAAAGUGAAGAUGAACUUGUAGUCUAUCAAAAGAAGAUGAACUUGUUCGUCUUGGCAUAGUAACUCAUUUUUAUUCCUUGUUACCUAUGAAACACGGACAAUAGAUACAACACGGACACCAAUACGUUAAUACCGUUAAUAAUAUAAAAAAAUAGGUACAUUGAAUAAUUAAUGUAUUUGACCUAUAAAUGUGACCAGAUAUAUUAAUUAUUCAAUGUAUCUAAAAAGUUGGUUUUUGUUUAUAAAUAUGAUCAUAUGGAGUACUACUUUAGUGUAAUUUUAUGUAUUGGUACUGCGAGACAUCUAAUCUAAAGAGUGUCAAUGUUUUCACACAUAUUACUCACCAAAGUGCACACAUUAUAUGCAUUUAGGUAAACUGAGUUCAUCCAAAAUUGUAACCGCACAAACAGAGGGCCGCUAGGAAAUAUGAGGUAAAUUUGGAUUAUUCUUUAUCAAAAGCUUAUGACCAAAGAAAAACUAUACAAAAACUAAUGUUCAAAAAGUACAUAAAGUAAUAAUGCAAAGUCAAUGUGUAUAUAUAUUUCACCAUUAAAUAAAAGGGGAAAAAAAUCUCCAUACACAGCUUGCAAUAGCUACCAUCAUGGCCUAAAGCAAAUAUCAUAUGACCACUAAAAAACAAUAGAAAAUAAACAAAUAAAAAGAGAAAAACAAAAGAGAAAAUGGUAUAAAGAAAUCAUGUAGUAGUUAGUUUUUUCUCAAGAUGGGCAACUCAGCAGGGCUGCUAGGAGGAAAUUACAAAAGAACAUGACACUUAACUUCUCUAAUCAUUCAAAAUUUGUCAAGAUGCUGAUUAUAUAUUUUAAUUAGUAGUUAGAGAUUGUUAUAGUAACGUGUUCUAGCCAUCAAGAAUAAAACAAUGUCAUGGAAAAGAAGUGGCCUACUAGAAGAAUUAAUUUAAAGCAUUUACACCAAAAUAAAAACAAAUUGAAUAUUGGAAUUGGUCCUUCAUGAUAGCUUCCCCUUAACAACUAACUCUAACUAUAAAUACUGAAUCUUGCAUGCAACAUUUCAUAGUAAACACUAAGACCAAAACCUCUUCUUUCUAUCCAUGACUGCUAGGGCUAGUUGCCCCAAAAUGGGGCAUUUUUGGCCACAAAUGGCAAUGGCAUUGGCCAUUGUUUUGAUUUCUACUACUAUGGUUUCUGCUUCUGAUAGCUACAUUUACUCUUCGCCUCCACCACCUUAUGAGUACAAGUCCCCACCACCGCCGUCUCCCUCACCACCUCCUCCUUAUGUGUAUAAGUCACCACCUCCCCCAUCCUCGUCACCCCCACCACCAUAUGAGCACAAGGCUCCAUCUUAUGAGUACAAGUCACCACCACCACCAACUUCUUCACCACCACCUCCUUAUGUAUACAAGUCACCACCACCACCAUCUCCUUCACCGUCACCUCCUUAUGUGUACAAGUCACCACCACCUCCAUCCCCAUCACCCCCACCUCCUUACGUGUACAAGUCACCACCACCACCCUCGCCUUCCCCGCCCCCACCAUACUAUUACAAGUCUCCUCCACCACCCUCGCCUUCCCCACCGCCACCAUACUAUUACAAGAGUCCUCCACCACCCUCUCCUUCACCUCCACCUCCUUACUACUAUAAAUCGCCUCCACCACCCUCACCUUCCCCUCCCCCACCAUACUAUUACAAGUCUCCUCCACCACCAUCUCCCUCACCACCUCCUCCAUAUUACUACAAGUCUCCCACACCACCUUCACCCUCCUCUCCACCCCCAUAUAUACACAAGGAUCCACCAUACUAUUACAAGUCCCCACCACCCCCUUCACCAUCUCCUCCACCACCAUACUACUAUAAAUCUCCCCCACCACCCUCACCCUCUCCACCCCCACCUUACUAUUACAAGUCUCCUCCACCACCUUCACCAUCUCCUCCACCACCAUACUAUUACAAAUCUCCUCCUCCUCCAUCUCCUAUUCCCCAUACACCUUACUAUUACAAAUCUCCCCCACCACCUUCACCAUCUCCUCCACCACCAUACUAUUACAAAUCUCCUCCUCCUCCAUCUCCUAUUCCCCGUACACCUUACUAUUACAAAUCUCCCCCACCACCUUCACCAUCUCCUCCACCACCAUAC
rnacentral:lncRNA from 1 species